rnacentral:rRNA from 1 species
GACGAACCGUGCGAACGUUAUUCGGAAUCACUGGGCUUAAAGCGCGUGUAGGCGGGCCGGCGCGUCGGUCGCUGAAAGCCCCCGGCUCAACCGGGGAAGCGGCGCCGAUACGGCCGGCCUGGAGGGGGUAGGGGGACCUGGAACUUCCGGUGGAGCGGUGAAAUGCGUUGAGAUCGGAAGGAACGCCCGUGGCGAAAGCGAGGUCCUGGACCCUUUCUGACGCUGAGACGCGAAAGCCAGGGGAGCGAACGGG